GACGAACGCUGGCGGCGUGCUUAACACAUGCAAGUCGAACGGAAAGGCCCUGCUUUUGUGGGUCGCUCGAGUGGCGAACGGGUGAGUAACACGUGAGUAACCUGCCCCUGACUUAGGGAUAACUUCAGGAAACUGGGGCUAAUACCGGAUAGGAGCUCUUGCUGCAUGGUGGGGGUUGGAAAGUUUCGGCGGUUGGGGAUGGACUCGCGGCUUAUCAGCUUGUUGGUGGGGUAGUGGCUUACCAAGGCUUUGACGGGUAGCCGGCCUGGGAGGGUGACCGGCCACAUUGGGACUGAGAUACGGCGCAGACUCGAACGGGAGGCAACGGUGGAGAAUAUUACACAGUGGGCGGAAGCCUGAUGUGACGACGCCGCGUGCGGGAAGACGGGCUUCGGGUUGUAAACCAAUUUCGCCUGAGACGAAGAGUGAGUGACGGUAAUGGGUAAAGAAGCACCGGCUAACUACGUG
rnacentral:rRNA from 1 species